GAGCUCCCGCUGCACGGGCUCUAAUCGUGAUUUCAUCUCAGGCUGCAGUGCGGAAAACCUUCCACAACACAGCCAUAUAGACUAGGGAAGCCUGCAUGUACCCGGAGACACCAAACUUGACACCCGGGAUGACCAGGAACAGCAGCAGCAAGUUGGGGCCUAUUAGAGAUGGAGAGGAGGAAAGGCUUUUCAUUCCGAUGCUGAAAGCCGCAUGCAAAUACAGUACACCUUCUUUCUACCCCCCCUGCCCCAUGGACUGGUGGGGGAUAUCCCGGUCCCCACCAGACGGUGCAACCCACACCCCACAUCUCUGGGUGAGUCCCGCAGUCCUAGCAAGCAAC